rnacentral:rRNA from 1 species
UUAAAUUGAAGAGUUUGAUCAUGGCUCAGAUUGAACGCUGGCGGCAGGCCUAACACAUGCAAGUCGAACGGUAACAGGAAGCAGCUUGCUGCUUUGCUGACGAGUGGCGGACGGGUGAGUAAUGUCUGGGAAACUGCCUGAUGGAGGGGGAUAACUACUGGAAACGGUGGCUAAUACCGCAUAACGUCGCAAGACCAAAGAGGGGGACCUUCGGGCCUCUUGCCAUCAGAUGUGCCCAGAUGGGAUUAGCUUGUUGGUGAGGUAACGGCUCACCAAGGCGACGAUCCCUAGCUGGUCUGAGAGGAUGACCAGCCACACUGGAACUGAGACACGGUCCAGACUCCUACGGGAGGCAGCAGUGGGGAAUAUUGCACAAUGGGCGCAAGCCUGAUGCAGCCAUGCCGCGUGUAUGAAGAAGGCCUUCGGGUUGUAAAGUACUUUCAGCGGGGAGGAAGGUGUUGUGGUUAAUAACCGCAGCAAUUGACGUUACCCGCAGAAGAAGCACCGGCUAACUCCGUGCCAGCAGCCGCGGUAAUACGGAGGGUGCAAGCGUUAAUCGGAAUUACUGGGCGUAAAGCGCACGCAGGCGGUCUGUCAAGUCGGAUGUGAAAUCCCCGGGCUCAACCUGGGAACUGCAUUCGAAACUGGCAGGCUUGAGUCUUGUAGAGGGGGGUAGAAUUCCAGGUGUAGCGGUGAAAUGCGUAGAGAUCUGGAGGAAUACCGGUGGCGAAGGCGGCCCCCUGGACAAAGACUGACGCUCAGGUGCGAAAGCGUGGGGAGCAAACAGGAUUAGAUACCCUGGUAGUCCACGCCGUAAACGAUGUCUACUUGGAGGUUGUGCCCUUGAGGCGUGGCUUCCGGAGCUAACGCGUUAAGUAGACCGCCUGGGGAGUACGGCCGCAAGGUUAAAACUCAAAUGAAUUGACGGGGGCCCGCACAAGCGGUGGAGCAUGUGGUUUAAUUCGAUGCAACGCGAAGAACCUUACCUGGUCUUGACAUCCACGGAAGUUUUCAGAGAUGAGAAUGUGCCUUCGGGAACCGUGAGACAGGUGCUGCAUGGCUGUCGUCAGCUCGUGUUGUGAAAUGUUGGGUUAAGUCCCGCAACGAGCGCAACCCUUAUCCUUUGUUGCCAGCGGUCCGGCCGGGAACUCAAAGGAGACUGCCAGUGAUAAACUGGAGGAAGGUGGGGAUGACGUCAAGUCAUCAUGGCCCUUACGACCAGGGCUACACACGUGCUACAAUGGCGUAUACAAAGAGAAGCGACCUCGCGAGAGCAAGCGGACCUCAUAAAGUGCGUCGUAGUCCGGAUUGGAGUCUGCAACUCGACUCCAUGAAGUCGGAAUCGCUAGUAAUCGUGGAUCAGAAUGCCACGGUGAAUACGUUCCCGGGCCUUGUACACACCGCCCGUCACACCAUGGGAGUGGGUUGCAAAAGAAGUAGGUAGCUUAACCUUCGGGAGGGCGCUUACCACUUUGUGAUUCAUGACUGGGGUGAAGUCGUAACAAGGUAACCGUAGGGGAACCUGCGGUUGGAUCACCUCCUUACCUUAAAGAA